UAGACUUAGUGGGUGGACCGAUGUUGUUUUGGGCGGUACCCACUGAGGACUACUUGUUUUUACAGUAGUUCUCACGCCCAGUUGUUACCCCUGUUUUGCAGAGCCACAGGUUUCGGCUGCUGCGCCUUCCGCGGAUCAGGAUCGAGGCAAGGGCGUCGCGAGUUAGAGCCCUACCCGACGUGCUGAGCUAGAGGUGCCCCUACUGCAGGUAGAUGUUUUGUUUCGAGUUUAUGUACAUAGUGGACCUAACUCGCCAGUGCGAGUAGCUUUGUAUUUUGGAUUUGGACUAUGUAUAUGAAACUCAGCUGGUUUAGUUUCUGUUUUCUCUAGCAGCUCCCUACUACUGUUCGUAGUAGUGUUUGAUUUACAGGUACAGCUAUCGCUUCGUAUACAGGGGAAAUUCCUUUGUAUACGGCGGAUUUGUCGGCGUGCCCGGGGAAAGUGUAAUCCGGGGCGUGACACGCGCGCGGUGCAACCGGUCUCUCUUUGGGGGACCGGUCUCUCGGGGACCGGUCUCUCAGGCAGGGACCGGUUCCCGAGAGCUAAUUUCUCAGGACUUAGCCGAUUUUUCGGCUGUCUCAACUCAUACGCGUUCGGGGACCGGUCUCUCCCACCAGGGACCGGUCCCCGAGAGCUCAAAACUGCAGAAUGCAGAUUUUGGUCCUUUAGCUCUCGAAAACCUCCUUUAACUCACUUUUGAUCAUUU
rnacentral:lncRNA from 1 species